CAAUCGACUGACUAAUUAUCGGUCAUUACGCGGUGCCGGUGGCGCGUUCCUGGUUGCGUCAGUAGCCCAUUUGCACGGUGGCUCGCGAAUAAAGGAGAAAUUUCAAUGAAGAACCGUGGAAAGAAGAGGUUUCGAGGUCACACGGAGAAUACACAAUUUUAUGAACGAAACGGAGGACCUCUGAAAUAUUCUCGCAGGAAACUUUUCGUGUUACGAAACUUUUCUGCGGAUAACCGAGGAUAUAAAUAGAAUGUAUGGAAGAAAUGUUGUUCGAUUGGUAUUAUGCAAUAGGUAUCAAGGCCAAAGAUCAAACGAAUGGAUUAACUUUUGUGACCGAAUGUAAAUUUUAACAUUUACAUACAUACAAGUACAUUGCAAUAAACAAUGUCGUUUGAAAAAGUCUUCACACGAGUAAUGUUUAUCGUGUAAAAAAUAGAAAGACAAAUGUAAAAGAAGAUAAAGUAGAAGUGGAGAUACGCAAAGUGCACAACCCAGAAAACAGACGUUAACCUAAUUAAGAAAUGAAGAAGAUUCUAAUCUGCUCGUAAUGAAAAUUCAUAAUUUAUCAUUUUCCCUUUCUUCGUAUUUCGCACGGUAAUAUUGUACGAAAAUAUUAAUCUACAAGUAUAAUUUAUUUAUAGUAUUACAUUACCGAUAUUCUACCAAAUUACUCGGUAUAAUUCAAGAUAAGGAUAAAAAAUAAGAGUUUCAUGCACGUCAAAUUUCUUCUGUUCUUAUUUCAUACGGAAUCACAUAGAUCAAUCUUCUUCUUAAUUUAUGUCACCUUAAUUACGGUCCAAAAGUCGGAUAACGUAACGUAGCGAAUGGUUACGUAAGAACGUCUGACAUUCACGUGUAACUUGCAAUAUUUCUUCGAUGUUUCGUCGAUUUAUCUUUUUUUUUUUUUUUUUUUUCUUUAUUAUCGUCAAUGAUAUUCCAGUAUGGGUACGGCCUCGUGGAUCAAAUUGCAGUACCUAUGCACGUAAUGAUCCGGACACCGGAAGUCAAGCCGGUGAUCUUGAUAGCACCAUUCUCGAGAGACGCGCGUGCGAUUCACGCGAACCCAUUUCACGAUUGUGCCGAGUUGUCACGAAUAAUUGCAUCGAGUUGUAUCGAGCGUGGUUUAUCUUCGUCGUCGAAAAGGCGAUUGUUUGCAUAUUUUGUAAUUGGUAUGGAAGACAGUAACAUCGUUACACAAUACGUUGUAUAUAUAAAUAGAGGAAGAAAAUGUUAAUGCAAAGGAGAAAUUUAUAAAAGAAGAUAUAUAUAUAUAUAUAAUUAAAUCUUGUUUUCAUAUGAAACUUGCUUUUUAUCGUGAAAUUUGUAUUAUUCUAAACAUACGUUCUAUACAAGAAAAUUUUAAUACGUUUAUGGAGGAAUAAAUAAUCACCAUUUUAACAAA